rnacentral:tRNA from 1 species
GGAGAGUAGGCAAAUAUUGGUUUGUUGCGCUUGUCUGCUAAACAAGUCCGCUAAUAGCGGUGAAGGUUCAAUUCCUUUGCUCUCCG